ensembl:lncRNA
NNNNNNUGAAGGGAAAAAUAUGGAUGUCUCAAAAUUUUCUUUGUCUCAACAGUGACAAGACUGAGGUUAUGCUGAUUGGUUCACCCCAUCAAAUACGUAAAGCUAAUAUCUUAAAUUUAAAGAUGGAUGGGUCUAUUAUGGAGUUUCAAGCAAAAUUAAAAAAUCUGGGGGUGAUAUUUGAUUCAAACUUAACUUUUGAUCCUCAUGUUCAGAACAUGGUUAAAGUAUCAUUUUUUCACCUUAGAAACAUUGCAAGACUGCGUCCCAUGUUGUCCUUUUCAGUGGCUGAAAAACUGAUCAAUACGUUUGUCUUUUCUCGAAUAGACUACUGUAAUGCUUUGCUCGCGGGGGUCUCGAAAUCUACUUUAGGCAGAUUGCAGUAUGUUCAAAAUGCAGCUGCCAGAGUCCUGACAAGUUCCAGGACAAGUGAGCACAUCUCUCCAGUCUUGGAGUCCUUGCACUGGCUUCCGGUCAGGUUUCGCAUUGAUUUUAAAAUUCUUAUGCUUACCUACAAGGCCCUGCAUGGUUUAGCUCCAGAAUAUCUGACUGAACUUUUAACUGUCUACACUCCAAGGCGUAAUCUUCUUUCAUCGGAUUCUGGCUUUUUAACUAUUCCUGUAACUCGUUUACGCUCUAUGGGUGACCGGGCCUUCUCUUCUGUGGCACCUAAACUCUGGAACUCUCUUCCUACUGAAAUUAGACAAGCUGAAUCCCUUAGUAUUUUUAAAUGUUCUUUUAAAAUGAUUUUUUUCCGGUUAGCAUAUAUGUGAUAUGUUUUUCUGAUUGUCAAUCUCAAUGUAUUUUUUUUUAAUUUUUUUUUGUAUGCCUUGGUAAAGCGCUUUGAGAUGUAACUUUUAAAGGCGCUAUAGAAAAUAAAGUUUAUUAUUAUUAUAUAUCCAUGAGAUAUAUUGCACAUUUUCAUAAUGUACUGUAAAUGUGGAAGUAGGAUUCGUUAAACUUACACAUUCAAAAUAAAAAUGCACCGAAGAGAAGCAGCUUUUUCUACAAUGGUCUAUUUACUUCAUUCUUAUCAAAUUAAUCUGUUACUCAAGGAACAUAGAAAUCUGAAUCUAAGAAGAAUGCAUAAAAAUAAAAGCUAAACUUCAAAUUAGUUUAGUUUAGA